UACAGAGGGUGCAAGCGUUAUUCGGAAUCACUGGGCAUAAAGGGCGCGUAGGCGGCCUGGUAAGUCUAUUGUGAAAUCCCCCGACUUAAUCGAGGAAGUGCAGUAGAAACUACUAGGCUAGAGGACAGGAGAGGAGAACGGAAUUCCUGGUGUAGAGGUGAAAUUCGUAGAUAUCAGGAGGAACAACGGUGGCGAAGGCGGUUCUCUGGACUGUAACUGACGCUGAGUGCGCGAAAGCGUGGGGAGCAAACAGG
rnacentral:rRNA from 1 species